UGUCCCCCAAGGUACAAUCAACACAAAAGUACCCCAUAGGGCUCAUUAUUGGACCUCAAGGUACAUGUAUGUACCUUUUUGAGGGUCAAAAAGGUACAUAUUUGUUCCCAAGCAUUAAAAGGUACAUAUUUGUACCAUUUCUUUUAAAGGAUAAGGUACAAUGUUAAGAGACAGUCUCUUGCCAUUUUUUUUUAUUUGUUGUUCUAGACAACUGCUGUAAAUCUGGUCAGUAACAUAAAUAACUAUUGUGUCAAUUUUUGUUUCCUUUAGUUGGACACAUGGGUAUUGAAGUAGUAUUAGUUUUCUUCUGUUCAUUGACAGUGUGUUUAAUUUUAAAUUUUUAAAUUUUAAUGGACAAAAAAGUUAAUUUCACUUAAUAAAAACUGUGAUAUGAACUCAAAAACUGCAAUUUAUUAACCAUUAUUUAAACUGAAUAAGUACUGAAUAACUGAAUCCCUCACACACACCGAAAAAAAACCGCGCUUUUAUUUUGACACGCGCCCAUCCCCCCACAUCUCACGGUUGGAGUCAGUUUCACAGAGCAGCGCAGGAGGACGACAGACACAUAAAGAACAUUAACAGGGCAAACGUUUCCCGCGCAAGUUUGAAUCUCUCUCAGUCAGUCAGGGGGAGAUUAACUGACUGACUUUCUACACGCCACCAAACAGUCAGUUAUACAGAAACCUUUUUAAGUUUAGUUUGAAUCUCUCUCAGUCAGUCAGGGGGAGAUUAACUGACAGACUGUAUAACGUUACAGGCCACCAAACAGUCUUACCAAGAAACCUUUUACAGUUUAGCGCAAACGUUUCCUGAGCAAGUUUGAAUCUCUCAGUCAGGGGGGAGAUUGACUGACUGACUGACUGACUGACUGUCUACUCGCCACCAAACAGUUACACAGAGGUAACAAGUAAGGACUAACGUUAACUGUCUGUCUGUCUGUCUGUCUGUUCUCAACCAAACAGUCAUUCAAGACCUUUUAAAGUUUAGUGCAAACGUUUCCAGCGCAAGUUUGAAUCUCUCUCAAACAGUACCAAACAGUAAACCUACACAGAAACCUUUUAAAAGUUUAGCACAAACGUUUCCAGCGCAAGUUUGGAUCUUUACCAUUGAGGGUGGCUGACUGUUUUCGACCAACUAUCAUUCACACGCAAAAACUUUAAAGAUAAGUAUGAACGUGCCCAGAGCAGUUUUCGAUCUUUACCAUUAAGGAGGCUGACUGACUAUCCUCUACCACCCGUCAUUAACACAAGAAAAACUAAAGAAAUGUUUAUCCAUAUGGACCUAUUCAUUUACUCAUUAUGCUGUGAGUACACCACAGUUUUAUCAGGGAAAAAAUUUAUAUUUGUGUUUCUCACUGCUUGACAAGGACAGAUGUGGCCCUGUUAAAAAUGUUUAAAUGUCGUUUGGUUUAAGGAACAACACACUGAUUUUGUUUUAAAAUAUUCCUGUUUGGACAGUCUGUUAAAGUCAUAAAGGAAUACUUGAUAUAUUUCAUAAGUAAAGUGUAAAUGUAAUAUUAGUUUUUAAUGUUGUGAAUUUGGACUGAACAGCACACUUCUGUUUUAUAUCUAAACCUUUUGUAAAAUAAAUGAUUGUUCAAUAAACUGUGUGUUUUAUCUUUUCUGUUAUCAUUUUUUAUACUAAUGUUUAAAAUGUACCUUUACACUAAACGAUUGGCUACACCAACACAAAUAUAUUGAGUCAUAUGCACUUAUAAUCUAAAGUUUACAGUACUUAGAUUGAGAUAUAUGUAUAAGUUUUAAAACCAUAAUCAAUGAGUGUACCCUGUCAAAGCCAAUUUUGUACCCUUUUUGAAGGGUCCAUAUUUGUACUGUUAAAUAAAGGUACAAAAUUGUCACCAGAGGUACAAAACUGGUCUCUUAAGGUACAAAUCACAAGGGUACAAAUUUGUACCCUCUGCCAAGGGUACAAAAACUGUACCCUUGAGGGUACAGCCCCAGUGACAAGCCAUUGUACCCCUAAAGGUACAAUUAUGUCCUUUCUUU